AUUGAACGCUGGCGGCAGGCCUAACACAUGCAAGUCGAACGAGUGGCGGACGUGUUAGUAAUGUCUGGGAAACUGCCUGAGGGAGGGGGUUCACUAAUGGACACUGUUACUAAUACCGCAUACCAUCGGAUGUGCCCAGGUGGGAUUAGCUAGUUGGUGGGGUAAAGGCUCACCUAGGCGACGAUCCCUAGCUGGUCUGAGAGGAUGACCAGCCACACUGGAACUGAGACACGGUCCAGACUCCUACGGGAGGCAGCAGUGGGGAAUAUUGGACAAUGGGCGAAAGCCUGAUGCAGCCAUGCCGCGUGUAUGAAGAAGGUCUUCGGGUUGUAAAGCACUUUCAGUUGGGAGGCGUUACCCGCAGAAGAAGCACCGGCUAACCCCGUGCCAGCAGCCGCGGUAAUUC
rnacentral:rRNA from 1 species